CAUCCAGUUCACACUCUACCCCACCGGAUCACUGAAGUUAAGCAACAUCAAGCCUGGUCAGUAUCUAGAUGGGUGACUGCUUGGGAAUACCAGGUGCUAUA